rnacentral:rRNA from 1 species
GACGAACGCUGGCGGCGUGCCUAAUACAUGCAAGUUGAGCGCUGAAGGUUGGUCCUUGUACCAACUGGAUGAGCAGCGAACGGGUGAGUAACGCGUGGGGAAUCUGCCUUUGAGCGGGGGCCACCUUUUGGAACCGAUUCUUAUUCCGCCUUAAAACUUUUAACACCAGUUUUUAGGUUUGAAAGAUCCAUUUGCUUCCUUCAAAGAUGAUCCCGCGUUGUAUUAGCUAGUUGGUGAGGUAAAGGCUCACCAAGGCGAUGAUACAUAGCCGACCUGAGAGGGUGAUCGGCCACAUUGGGACUGAGGCACGGCCCAAACUCCUACGGGAGGCAGCAGUAGGGAAUCUUCGGCAAUGGACGAAAGUCUGACCGAGCAACGCCGCGUGAGUGAAGAAGGUUUUCGGAUCGUAAAACUCUGUUGGUAGAGAAGAACGUUGGUGAGAGUGGAAAGCUCAUCAAGUGACGGUAACUACCCAGAAAGGGACGGCUAACUACGU